rnacentral:lncRNA from 1 species
AUGGAGCUUUCCGUGCUUCAGAGAAGACUGGGGGUUUUUGGCUUCUUGGUUCGAGAUCAUCUGGGAUGUGGAGUUCUUGCGGAAGCUGCACGUCUGACUUAUGUACAUGAUGCUAUUUCAGUUGAAGCGGAGGCUUGCCUGGCAGCCCUUCCAGCUGUUGUAGCGCAUGGUAUCACAUCUAUCCUGGUGGAAUCUGAUUUAUCUGUGCUAAUUUCGGCUCUUCAGACUAAUGAGUAUGCCUCUGCUCCUGGUGGGUCCAUCUUCAGGGAGAUCAAAGUCCUUGUUCAGAUGAUCGAUCGACCUUUACCCCUCCUCCUGUUCCAACUUCCAACCCAUCCUCGCAUGAGAGUGCAGGCCGACGCGAGGAGAUUCGCCGGGUUCGUCCAACCAGCACGUGAGACGCCGGUGUUUGCUGGAACUUUCCGUCGCCGUGAAGCACACGCGUGUCGAUUCGCGUCGAUCCGCCGGCUGCCGAAGCGACGUCCGGUCGCUGCGGCGCGCGAUUCGCUCGGUAGUCACUCACAAGAUCAGAGCUGUUGCGGUGCGGAGCUUUUGCUUGGACCAAAGAUAAAAAGGCAAAAUCUUCUCUUGCUCUAAACGGUACUCC